rnacentral:sRNA from 2 species
CACCUGCAUGCGCUGAAUUCCAUUAGGAAGCGGGGGAACCAUCUUUUUGGGGUGAACCUCAUGGAUUAUGAGGAGGGAGACUCUUUCUUCCUAACCCGUCAGCUAACCUCGUAAGCGUUAAAGAGGGGUGGU